GUGGGGAAUCUUCCGCAAUGGACGAAAGUCUGACGGAGCGACGCCGCGUGAGUGAAGAAGGCCUUCGGGUCGUAAAGCUCUGUCAUCAGGGACGAAUGGCCGGUGGAGUGGAAAGCCACCGGAUUGACGGUACCUGAGAAGGAAGCCACGGCUAACUACGUGCCAGCAGCCGCGGUAAUACGUAGGUGGCAAGCGUUGUCCGGAAUUAUUGGGCGUAAAGCGCGCGCAGGUGGGAUCUUAAGUCCAUUUUGAAAGUUCGGAGCUCAACUCCGUGAUGGGAUGGAAACUGGGAUUCUUGAGUACCGGAGAGGAAAGCGGAAUUCCCCGUGUAGCGGUGAAAUGCGUAGAUAUGGGGAGGAACACCAGUGGCGAAGGCGGCCUUCUGGACGGUGUCUGACACUGAGGCGCGAAAGCCAGGGGAGCGAACGGGAUUAGAAACCCCGGUAGUCC
rnacentral:rRNA from 1 species